rnacentral:rRNA from 1 species
GCAAGUCGAGCGAGACGCUAAAUUUAUUUAGUUGAAAGCGGCGGACGAGCGAGUAACACGUAAGCAUCUGCCCCGUACUCAGGGAUAACACAGUGAAAGCUGUGCUAAUACCGGAUGGUCCCGAAAGGGUAAAGAUUUAUCGGUACGGGAGGAGCUUGCGGCUUAUCAGUUAGUUGGUGGGGUAAAGGCCUACCAAGACUAUGACGAGUAGCUGGUGUGAGAGCAUGACC